GAUCCCAAGAUGAAUUUUACUUUGCACCUGAAUAUCAAGAGGAUGGAAUUUUGACUGAGAAGGUUUGUGUGUAUGGGGUUGCUGCUAUUCUCUGGGCUGCUGCCAAGUUCAGUUUAUCACCUAAUCAGAAACUGGCAAUGCCUCACAAACUGAAGAGACUGCUACUGGAGAUGGCAAAGAAGGCGCCCAUUGAGAGACCUACCAUUGUCAUGGCUAAAAAAAGCUGUCAGGACUGCUUAUCACAUCAAAGGACAAAUGCUGAGACUGUCUGGAACAACCUGGUCAGAAGAGUUCACCCGCCAGCCUCAAAAUCUAGUGAUGCAGAAGAUGUGAGUGCAAGUCAAACACAUCAAGGCUUAUGUGAAGAGUCUGCACAAAACAGCGGUGGCUUUGUGCCCAUGGGAAUUGUGAGCCAACUGGCUGCUGUACCUGGCCCUGUUCCCCACAGCUAUCCAGGCAGCAAGGAACUCCUGCUCCCAGAGGCCUUCACUUCCACUGCUACGCACUUCACACCCAUCAUCCUGACCAAUGAAGCAGACUCAGAGGAGGAGAGCCACAACAUUGCAACUGCCAGUCAAGGGAUUCUGGAUGAAUUUUCACAAGGAGCCUCAAUUUCACUUCACACACUGAAUAUACAUAUCCUGUGCAGAUUGAACCCUGUCUAACUACACAGGAGUCGUCUAUCGAGCAGGCAGCCAUAACUACAACUUCCAACUAUAACUCUCCAUCCCCUCUACGUGGUAUUUCCCAUUUUGAAAUCUCUCUUCCUCAGUCAUUAUUUUCUAAUCUCAGUGGUUGUGGUGUUUUCAACAAUUACCUUUUCCGUCAUGAUCCCACAACAGGACAUCUUUCUUUAGUACCUGUGCAGGUCAGGGCUCCUGAGCCUCUCAUCAGGUUGGAAAUAAAUCUCUCCCUGAUCCCACAGCCUUUGCAGGCACUAAUCACAGUUCCAGGAUGCACUGAAGGUUCAUUUGUUAACUGCCCGACUGUGCCCAUGAAGCCUGAAUCUCAGGAAUAUGGCCUACUGUCAUCUUAUUUCAGUGGUAGCUCUAUCAUUUCUGACAGCCCUCCGAAGUACAGUGAGCCUGGGGCUUACAAUGGACAGACAAUUUCAGGAACACAAGGUAUGAGCCUGUCUCCUUCAGAGUACAUCUCCUGCAAAGUCCUCCCUGCCUUCCAGGAAGUGAUUGGCCUGCUCAAAGGAGAGUUUUCACUUGAUGGGUGUUCCAGCACAAUGGGUAUUUGAACAAUGGCCACAAGGAUAUCGCCAUGGGGGAGUACAGCUUCUCUUUGAAGGACCUUCAGUACCACACGUUUGCCAGUGUUGUGAAGGAACGGUUCAGUGAAUUGUACUAGGAAGACGACUUGCUGGGUGUGUUGCACUGCCUGGUCAACUGCAGCCCAUCCAUACAUGGCACUAAUGAGCAGCCUCCAUCAAAGGCUGUGGAAAGGGCAGCACUUACCCCACCCUUAAAUGGCCACUGUCUCAAGAAAGGAGAGAGAAGUUUGCCUGCACGACAGUCUUGAUCUGAAUGGAAACAUCCACACAACCAGUUCCGCUGCUGUGAAUUCUUGGGACAAAACUGAGGGCCAGUCCUGCCAUGGAGACAGUGAGAUUGCACUUGAAGAUUCUGAAUUAAGAUCAGAGCAGAGUCCACAGUAUUUCAGUCAAGGUGUGAGGUGCUGACAGUUCAGAAGCAGGGGUCAUGGAGGGAGAAGAUCAUUCAAUGGGGUACAUCAAUCGAAGCCCCUCUGAAGUUGAGUUUCUGUCGGGGAGACAGGAAGGGCUGACAGGAGCCCACAACGAGCAGAUGAGCCUCAAGUGCUCUGAGGGCAUGGAGAACAGUGACUCUCUGGUGUCAGAGCCACUUCUCUCACCUAGAUCCAGAGCAGAGGGGCCGGGCCUCAGCUUCAGGCCGGCAUGGGCCUUGGCCUUUUUUGGAGAAGAUUGUUUUGAUCCAGAGGUCAAACAGUAUGUAGUGAAUCUGGGACAGCACACAGGAUCGCCAUGUCUGGAUGUGAAAACACAGGUGGGUAAACCUGUGAAGACUACUACCAGUGAGUCAUUUGUGACUUUAACUCUGUGUGCGAACAAACAGCAGACUGCAUGAAGUGACUGACUUAUUUAUCAGAUUCUUUUGUGAUGAAACAUAUACAGUAUCAUUUUUUUAUUUAACACAUAUUGCAGUAAUAGGUAGAGAGUUGUGUAUAUUAUCUGUAAAUGCUGAUAUUCUUACUUUGUUCAUAAACUUUAGAUUGAAAAUCCUGUGCUGGGAGUAAGUCAGUGUUUUAAUUUCCAUUCUUUAUGCAUUUUAUCCAUGUAUUAUAAUAUAUCUAAGUGCUUAUUGAAUGCAGUUUAACUUCCUAGUUUUAUUCAUCCCUCACCAGGUCUAGUUUUAUGAAUAAUUGCAGGAAAUAUUUUCCUAUCUGUAAUGAAGUGGGGCCCGGUCAAGCUUUGGGGUAAAUAGGAUGAGAACAUGUGGAGGACUUGAAGAUAAUUGGCGUUUUAUUCUCUCCAAACUGGAAUUGAAUGUUAAUGUUGAACUUAGCCCUUGGCAGAGGAAGUUAUUGUCAUCUGCAGAAGAAUAUUAAUGAGUAGUCUUUGUGUUUGCACACUUUGAUGGCACCACUGCUCCUCCAGAAGGUUUGUGUAACAGCUGACAACACACCUUAAGAGCUUUGUUGCUCUGACUUCUCACUCAUUUCAAUUCAAAAGCGCUACUAUGUUCUGUUGCCAUGGUGAAGAGGGAAAAAAAUUGGUGCCCCAUACACAGUGGAAACACCCGAAGGCUUCUUUCAGCGAAAGGCAUGCGCUGUUAUUUUAGGGCCUUUGUGCGAUUCUGGAUGAUUUCCUUUGAACAGGAACUGCAACAGCAGCUAAUGACUGAAACAAGGAAUCUAAAGAAAAUGAGAAAUUUCUACCAGAAGCUGAUUCAACAAGAGAGAAAAAAUAAAGGUUGGAUGCCCAUUUCAUAACAAUGCUAGAGUACCACUGUGACCUAAUAAGCAGUUUAUGCACUGUUGUCUUAAAGGUUCAGAGAGCAAACUGACGCUGUCCAAACUCAAGUUACAGCUUGAGGAACUCAGAGCCAAAGUGAUCUUCUUGAAUUGUGUGAAGAAAUACCUAGAGGUAGUAACACAAAGUACUACAGCUCCCCAUGCUGCCAUUUCUCAUGCAUCCCCCAACAAUCUCUCUCCUCUAACUUUUUAUAUAACUUGUUAACUAUUUGUAUUUCUGCAGAUUUUGAAUGUUGACCAGUGGGGUUUGGAAGUUUCAUUAUUAGACUCCUUGGCUGCCUGUGGACCUGGCUCUUUGCACCUCCAAUCCUCUGAGGACCCUUCUGUUCUGAGCUUUGGUGCUAGCGCUCAGCAGGGUGGAUCUCCUCUGGGUCUCAUGGCUUAUCUCUACGCCAGGUAUUAUUGAUGAGCAUUUACAUUUGCUAUCUAUAAGUCAGGAGGUCAUAUGAUAAUGUUGAUGGCAUCAGGUAACCUCUUUGAUGGGAGCUGUGUGUUCUAUUAUUCAUCUUCUAAUGGGUCCAACCAAGGAUUUCACAAUAACUCAGGUCAGAAAAUUUCUAGAUUAUGGCAAGAAACCAAGAUGUUACUAAAGCAGAGGUUAAGAGUGCAGGUGUUUGGAACAGUUUUCACUGGCAUGAUAAUUCAUAUUUGGUCUAGUGUGUUUCUGGUCAUGCUGUGUGGGCUUGAGUCAAAAUAAACUUCAUUGUGUGUGCUCAUGGUAAUGAAGGAACAUGUCAGGGCAAAGUGUGGCUUGCCACUAUGUUCGGAAUAGUUUUUGAACAACACUGAACCUCUAUGGUGCCAAGAAAUAUGAUAAAUCAAGCUGGUUGUCCAGUGUUGUUUUUGGUCUUUUCAUAGGAUUUGUGGACUCUGUGUGCCAAAUACAGUUUAAUUAUGUGUAUGUGCGUCUCUCUCUCUUUUUCACCACUGACCCCCACACUCUUUUUUGACUAGUUAUGUAGUUGGUCACAUGCAGUAUAUUUUGUUUAAAUGUCAGUAAAAUUAAAUGUCACCACCCUAACUUUAACCCUAAUCUGUAAACACUGACGUUAUUACUGAAGUAUAUAUCUGAAGUCUGACUUUUUGAGCAUUGACAUUUUUUUAGCCACUUUUAGUUCCCCCUCCUCCAACUGAAACUGGUUUUACAGUACUUUUACUACGUCUCCCACAUGAUCUGAGAAAAGCUGAUUGUCUGUUUCCUCAUGUUAUUUUAUUCCAUAAUUUGCUGUCGUAGAUAUGUUUUCACUGAACAAUGUUACUAAUCUGUUAGUUUAUGAACUUUAUACAGCACUUCCUUUAUACCUAUCGUUUCUUCUGUACUCCUGAACAGUUACUACAGUUCAUAAUUGAUAAAUUCAUCAGUGCUGCAAGGUACAGUGUAUCUGUAUGCAGAGUAUAUUUACAAUGUAGUCUUAUAUUGUCCAUUAAUUGUAUAAUGUGUGUUUUCUAUGCCAGAGAAGGUCCAGACAUGUCAGGAAACAGUGAAAAGAUCUUCCAUCACGGUUUAGACCUGCUCCAUUUCUGGAUAAUAUAUUGUAAAGCAGUGGAUUGGACACCAAAGUCCAGUCUUGUGGCUUCAUUAGAAAAAUUCCUUAAUACUGAGGUAAUUCCUGUCGACAGCUGGGUGGAGGCCCUUCUGACUGCUCUCCACAGCCCUCCAAGUGCAGCUUGUAGCCAAGGAAGAGGAAGCCUAAUCAGCACUGCGGAAGAUGAUGGCACCAUGUGUGUGCACUCAUCUACCAAGGAAAAGGAAUGUGUCUCACUGCAUCCUGCCAGCAGAUGGCAGCAGUCUUCUUGUAUGUGAGAGGACGCCAUGGACAGCUAUCUCCAGUGGCUGCUCGCAUAUGCUGACAGUGUCACUAACCGGAUCUCUGCUGAAAUAGUCAUCUGUGACUCUGUCAAGACCCAAGUCAUUUUGCUGACCAAGUAUCUGUGGAUAGGAAAACACUGCUACGAAUCGAGGAACUUUGCCACAGCCAUGCAGGUCCUCAGAGGCUUGGAAACAUCUGUCUUCCAAGGUGUGUGAGAUCCUGGAAGAGCUACGAUCUGUACAGGU